CUACGGAGGGGGCUAGCGUUGUUCGGAAUUACUGGGCGUAAAGCGCGUGUAGGCGGAUCGUUAAGUCAGGGGUGAAAGCCCGGAGCUCAACUCCGGAAUUGCCCUUGAUACUGGCGAUCUAGAGGCCGGGAGAGGUGAGCGGAAUUCCCAGUGUAGAGGUGAAAUUCGUAGAUAUUGGGAGGAACACCAGUGGCGAAGGCGGCUCACUGGCCCGGUUCUGACGCUGAGACGCGAAAGCGUGGGGAGCAAACAGGAUUAGAUACCCUAGUAGUCC
rnacentral:rRNA from 1 species